rnacentral:rRNA from 1 species
AUACGUAGGGGGCGAGCGUUGUCCGGAAUGAUUGGGCGUAAAGGGCGCGUAGGCGGCCCGGUAAGUCUGGAGUGAAAGUCCUGUUUUUAAGAUGGGAAUUGCUUUGGAUACUGUCGGGCUUGAGUGCAGGAGAGGUAAGUGGAAUUCCCAGUGUAGCGGUGAAAUGCGUAGAGAUUGGGAGGAACACCAGUGGCGAAGGCGACUUACUGGACUGUAACUGACGCUGAGGCGCGAAAGUGUGGGGAGCAAACAGGAUUAGAUACCCUGGUAGUCCACACUGCAAACGAUGAAUGCUAGGUGUAGGGGGUAUCGACCCCUUCUGUGCCGCAGUCAACACAAUAAGCAUUCCGCCUGGGGAGUACGGCCGCAAGGUUGAAACUCAAAGGAAUUGACGGGG